rnacentral:rRNA from 1 species
UACGGGGGGAGCAAGCGUUGUUCGGAUUUACUGGGCGUAAAGGGCGCGUAGGCGGCCAGCACAAGUCAGUUGUGAAAUCUCCGGGCUUAACUCGGAAAGGUCAACUGAUACUGUGCGGCUAGAGUGCAGAAGGGGCAACUGGAAUUCUCGGUGUAGCGGUGAAAUGCGUAGAUAUCAUGAGGAAUACCAGAGGCGAAGGCGGCUACCUGGACAAUUGCUGACGCUCAGGCACGAAAGCGUGGGGAGCAAAAGGG